AUGCAAGUCGAACGAUGAAAUCCUGCUUGCAGGAUGGAUUAGUGGCGCACGGGUGAGUAAUAUAUAGCUAAUCUACCCCUUGGAGAGGGACAACAGUUGGAAACGACUGCUAAUACCUCAUACUCCCAUAUAUUAUAAGAUAUAUGGGGAAACGAUUUAUUGCCAAGGGAUGAGGCUGUACGGUAUCAGGUAGUUGGUGAGGUAAAGGCUCACCAAGCCAAUGACGCCUAGCUGGUCUGAGAGGAUGAUCAGCCACACUGGAACUGAGACACGGUCCAGACUCCUACGGGAGGCAGCAGUGGGGAAUAUUGCACAAUGGGGGAAACCCUGAUGCAGCAACGCCGCGUGGAGGAUGACGCAUUUCGGUGUGUAAACUCCUUUUAUCAAGGAAGAAAUUUGACGGUACUUGAUGAAUAAGCACCGGCUAACUCCGUGCCAGCAGCCGCGGUAAUACGGAGGGUGCGAGCGUUGUUCGGAAUUACUGGGCGUAAAGCGGGUGUAGGCGGUCUGUCAAGUCAGAUGUGAAAGUCCAGGGCUCAACCCUGGAAGUGCAUCUGAAACUGUCAGACUUGAGUACUGGAGAGGGAAGUGGAAUUCCUGGUGUAGGGGUGAAAUCCGUAGAUAUCAGGAGGAACACCGGUGGCGAAGGCGACUUCCUGGACAGAUACUGACGCUGAAGCGCGAAAGCGUGGGGAGCAAACAGGAUUAGAUACCCUGGUAGUCCACGCCCUAAACGAUGAAUGUUAGUCGUUGGAGUGCUAGUCACUUCAGUGAUGCAGUUAACACAUUAAACAUUCCGCCUGGGGAGUACGGUCGCAAGAUUAAAACUCAAAGGAAUAGACGGGGACCCGCACAAGUGGUGGAGCAUGUGGUUUAAUUCGAAGAUACGCGAAGAACCUUACCUGGCCUUGACAUUGAAGGAACCUGGUAGAGAUACUGGGGUGCCCUUUUAGGGAGCCUGAAAACAGGUGCUGCACGGCUGUCGUCAGCUCGUGUCGUGAGAUGUUGGGUUAAGUCCCGCAACGAGCGCAACCCUCGUGACUAGUUACUAACGGUUAGGCCGAGGACUCUAGUCAGACUGCCUUCGCAAGGAGGAGGAAGGUGAGGACGACGUCAAGUCAUCAUGGCCCUUACGGCCAGGGCGACACACGUGCUACAAUGGGUAGGACAAUGAGAGGCGAUACCGCGAGGUGGAGCAAAUCUAUAAACCUACUCUCAGUUCGGAUUGUAGUCUGCAACUCGACUACAUGAAGCUGGAAUCACUAGUAAUCGUAGAUCAGCCAUGCUACGGUGAAUACGUUCCCGGGUCUUGUACUCACCGCCCGUCACACCAUGGGAGUUGAUUUCACCCGAAGCGGGGAAGCUAA
rnacentral:rRNA from 1 species